CCUACGGGUGGCAGCAGUGGGGAAUAUUGGGCAAUGGGCGCAAGCCUGACCCAGCAACGCCGCGUGAAGGAUGAAGGCUCUAGGGUUGUAAACUUCUUUUAUCAGGGACGAAGCAAGUGACGGUACCUGAUGAAUAAGCCACGGCUAACUACGAGCCAGCAGCCGCGGUAAUACGUAGGUGGCAAGCGUUAUCCGGAUUUACUGGGUGUAAAGGGCGUGUAGGCGGGAAAGCAAGUCAGAUGUGAAAACCAUGGGCUCAACCUGUGGCCUGCAUGUGAAACUGUUUUUCUUGAGUACUGGAGAGGCAGACGGAAUUCCGAGUGUAGCGGUGAAAUGCGUAGAUAUUAGGAGGAACCCCAGUGGCGAAGGCGGUCUGCUGGACAGCAACUGACGCUGAGGCGCGAAAGCGUGGGGAGCAAACAGGAUUAGAUACCCCUGUAGUC
rnacentral:rRNA from 1 species